UCGUCGUCGACGGGAACGUCUCCUCCCAUUAAAAGCGCAUCGCCGGAAAUCCUGAAAUAAAUCCAGGAAUAAUGCGAGCACCAGGAUUUGAACCCUGGUGGGUUGGUGAUACCACUGUCCACCUAACCAACUCAACCACAAGUUGAUUCGUAGGUAGUGCUAAUUUAUUAAGGCAUGUUAAACAUUGUAUUCUGUGUAUAUACAUGGUGUACGUAUAAACCGCGUAUAUCACGUUGUGUGCGUGCGUGUGUAUCACGUUAGGAAGUUGGGGCCGGUAGGAUCGAUCUCAUAUGUCGUUGUAGCUAUCCUGUAGAUUAGAGAUCGAUCCUAACCUCCUCUAACUCAUGUGCUUGUAAUCUCCUAUGCCUAUAUUAACACAUACGCGUCUCUGCUACGUCAGCAUACGCUUAACCUAAUUCUCACAUGGUAUACAGAGCCAUCGCUCUUCAUCGCAUCUAGCCAUGUCGAGUUCUUCAUCUUCCGCCGCCAUGAUUGCACCCUCGAUCGCUGCUCUUGGCCACACCAUCACCGAGAAGCUCACGCGCGAGAACUUUCUCGUGUGGAGGGCGCAAGUCCUGCCGCACAUCAAGGCGGCAGGGAUGACCGGCUACAUCGACGGCUCCAUCAAGGAGCCCGCUGCUGAGAUCGCCACGGAGAAAGAAGUCUCCGGCAAGAAGGUGGUCACCUUCGUGGCCAACCCCGAGCACGCCAUAUGGGUCACCCAGGACCAGCAGGUUCUUACUUUUUUGAUUGCAUCGCUAUCCUGAGAGGUCUUGAUGCAGGUCAGCACAUGCACUACCGCGGCGACGCUCUGGGCUGCGCUCCUGCAGAGUUUCUCGUCGCAAUCCAGGGCGAGGGUGAUCCAGCUCCGCUCACAGCUCGAGCAUACCCGCAAGGGCGACCUUUCUGCGGCGGCCUACUUCACCAAGAUGAAGGGCAUCGCCGACGAACUUGCAGCCGCCGGCAAGUCGCUUGAUGAGGAUGAUGUGGUCGACCACAUCCUGCAAGGUCUUCUUCAUGAACCGGACUACAAUGGGUUCGUCUCCGCCAUCUCCACGCGCACGGCAACCGAGUAGCCGAUCGGCCUCAACGAGCUUUUCUCGCUGCUUCUCUCCGCCGAGGCUCGCAUCGCCGCCCAGACCGCCUCCUACUCCGUGAAUCUUGCGGCCAGGGGUGGUGGCCGCGGCGGCGGCAACUAUAGCUGCCCUGGUGGCGGCAACGACGGUGGCUCCCGCGGCUUCAACAACAACAACGCGGGUGGCCAGUGCUACCCCGACAACUCUGGCAACGGCGGCUCUGGAGGCGCGCCGCGACAAGGUGGUGGUGACCGCGGUGAUCGCGGUGACCGCGAGAAGUGCCAGAUCUGCAAGAUGGAGGGGCAUGGAGCUUGGCGCUGCAGAAAGCGCUAUGAUCGCGACUACAACAACAACGUCCGCAACCCUGCGGGCGGAGGUGGUGGUGGAGGGAACCGUUCGGCCAAUGCUGUUCACUCCUAUGGAGUGGACACAAAUUGGUACCUCGACACCGGAGCAACCGAUCAUGUGACAGGGGAGCUGGAGAAGCUUGCUGUUCGGGAUCGGUACACUGGCACGGAACAAAUCCAAACUGCGAGUGGUCAAGGUAUGGACAUUGCUCACAUUGGUCAUUCGGUUGUCACUACACCUCAUGGCUCUCUCAAACUAAAUAACAUCAUCCAUGCACCAGAAUCAGAUCAAAGUUUACUUUCUGCCUACAAGCUUAUUCGUGAUAACCAUGCCUUCCUUGAAGUUUACCCUGAAAUUUUCUUUGUUAAGGACCGAGCCACCCGGAGAACCGUUCUUCAAAGCAAGAGUAGGGGACGGUUGUUCCUUAUUUCUGGCCGCCAUGAUGCUCCCUCUCGUCAAGCUCUCACUGUGAUCAAGCCAUCUACCUCAAGAUGGCACAAGCGCCUAGGGCAUCCUGCCUUUCCAGUGGUCCAGAAAAUUCUUCGAGAUUUUAGUCUUUCAGUUUCCAAUAAAAAGGAUCAUCUCCUUGUGUGUGAUUCAUGUCAGAUGGCCAAGAGUCAUCAACUUCCUUAUUCUCGUUUACUAGUGAAUCAAAGGCUCCUUUAGAGCUAGUUUUUUCAGAUGUGUGGGGUCCUCGACCCAUUUCUGUUGGUAGACAAAAGUACUAUGUUGGAUCUAUUUUCUUAAGAAUAUGUCUGAUGUAUUUGCAAAGUUUCAUCUUUUCCAACAACAUGUUGAACGUCUCUUUGAUCACGAAAUCCUUGCCAUGCAAAAGGACUGGGGUGGUGAAUACCAAAAACUCCAUUCUUUCUUUGAUCGCAUGGGCAUCACUCAUCAUGUUUCCUGUCCACAUGCCCACCAACAGAAUGGCUCCGCUGAAAAAAAACAUAGCCACAUAGUGGAGGUGGGCCUCUCCCUCCUUGCGCAUGCCUACAUGCCAUUGAAGUUUUGGGACGAAGCGUUCCUCACAGCCGUCUAUCUCAUCAAUCAUGUUCCUAGCAGAGUCAUUAAUAACCAAACCCCUCUUGAACGUCUCUUUGGCACCAAACCAAACUACACAUUCCUUCGCAUUUUUGGUUGUGCAGUUUGGCCAAAUCUACAUCCUUUUAAUAAGCACAAGCUAGAGUUUCGUUCAAAACAGUGUGUUUUUCUGGGGUACAGUAGUCUUCAUAAGGGCUACAAGUGUUUGGAUGUUGCUACCGGACGUGUCUAUUUUUCUCGCGAUGUGGUUUUUGAUGAACAAGUGUUUCCUUUUGCCAAACUCCACCCCAACGCCGGCGCUCAACUUCGCAAAGAGCUUGUUCUUCUACCCGCCCAUCUCCUCCCAUCGCCAAACUUUAUCCCCGGGGGUGUAGUAGAUCCUGCUGACCAUGUGUCCAUGUCUCAUGACUCUAUUGAUCAAAACUCUGCUGAAAGUGUGCAGGAAUAUAAUGAAGCUUUUGGAGAAAACUCGUAUGAUUUUAUGUCAGGAUCCAAAACUACAGCACACGCCGCAGAAGAUCCGGACGGCGAUCCCGGAGCUGAUCUGGGCGGGAUCCCCUCGGGAUCAGCCUCGUCAGGCGCACCAGGCAGGCCAGGCGAAUCGCCUCUGGGAUCCGCGUCGGUGUCAGCCAGGCGGCCUGCACCUGUGGCUGGAUUUGGUGGGCCAGGCGCACAUGGCACCGGUCGGCCCUUGUCGCAUCCGCGGGUCACGUCUGUGUCGCGGCCAGGAGGGCCCUCUGCGCGCGGCUCCGGUCGGCUGCCGCCCAACCAGCCACUAGAGACCAACCCAGACGCGCCAAGUGGCCGCUUCGGGGAGGCGGGCGUCCUCAUCUGCUGAUUCGCUCGAGCCACAACAGGAGUUCUCUCCUGGAUCUUCUGUGGACUCCGGAUUGGCCGUGUCUUCUUCUUCCAAUCGACUUCAGCAAUGUAACUCGCAACCUGCUCCGCCGCUUCCUGCACGCUCCCAUACCAGGUCACAAAGUGGUAUUGUUCAGCCUAAAAUCUAUAUAGAUGGUUGUGUUCGUUGGGGUUCUUUUUGUGCCACAGGAGGACCGCAGAAUCUGGGGGAAGAACUAGGUGAACGCAGAUGGAAGGAGGCAAUGGAUGAGGAAUAUGAUGCUCUUAUGAAAAACAAGACAUGGUGUUUGGUUCCACCAGUCAAGGGGAGGAAUCUUAUUGACUGCAAGUGGGUCUAUAAGGUCAAACGAAAAUCUGAUGGCACUAUUGACAGGUAUAAGGCAUGUUUAGUUGCCAAAGGGUUUAAACAGAGGGACGGGCUUGAUUACGAGGACACAUUUAGUCCUGUAGUAAAAGCAGCUACUAUCAGAAUAAUUCUUUCAGUUGCAGUCUCUAGAAACUGGUGCAUUCGACAGCUAGAUGUAAAGAACACGUUCUUGCAUGGUGUUCUUGAAGAGGAAGUGUUCAUGAGGCAACCGCCUGGGUAUGAAAACUCCAGAUUUCCACGUCAUGUCUGUAAGCUUGAGAAGGCAUUGUAUGGGCUGAAACAGGCACCUAGGGCUUGGUACUCUCGGUUAUCUUCAAAGUUGCAAUCUCUGGGGUUCUCUCCAUCUAGCGGAUACACCUCAUUGUUCUUUUAUCACAAGCAUGGGAUAACCAUUUUUAUGCUCAUUUAUGUUGAUGAUAUUGUUGUCACAAGUUCCUCAUCUCAAGCAGUUGAAGCUCUCCUCAAGGACUUGAGAAAGGACUUUGCACUAAAGGACCUGGGCAACCUGCAUUUCUUUCUUGGAAUUGAGGUAAAACAUGUACCAAGUGGAAUUGUGUUGUCACAGGAGAAAUAUGUACAAGAAAUAUUUCAGCGGAUGGGCAUGAAGACAUGUAAGCCAUCACCUACACCUUUGUCUGUCUCUAAAAAAUUGUCCCUUCAUGAUGGAGAGGCACUUGGGGCAGAAGAUGUCACCAGGUAUAGAAGUGUUGUAGGAGCAUUGCAAUACUUGACUUUGACUAGGCCAGAUAUUUCAUACUCACUAAACAAAGUUUGUCAAAUUUUUACAUGCUCCUACUAGUGUCCAUUGGACAGCCGUAAAAAGGAUACUUAGAUAUCUUCAAGGAACCAAAGGUCAUGGUUUAAAAUUUGGAAAGUCAGAUUCUAUGCUAGUUAGUGCUUUUUCAGAUGCAGACUGGCCAGGCUGUCCUGAUGACAGGAGGUCAAUAGGAGGCUUUGCAGUAUUCCUUGGAGGUAAUUUGAUAUCCUGGUGUGCUCGCAAGCAACCUACUGUUUCUCGGUCCAGUACAGAAGCUGAGUACAAGGCAUUAGCCAAUGCUACUGCUGAAAUUAUUUGGGUCCAACAUUUGCUGACAGAACUGGGUGUUCAUCAUCCAAAAGCUGCAUCGCUCUGGUGUGAUAAUCUUGGUGCCACAUACCUAUUUGCUAAUCCUAUAUUUCAUGCCAGGACAAAAUAUAUUGAAAUUGACUAUCAUUUUGUUCGUGAACGGGUGGCUGAAAAAUUGUUGAAUAUAAGGUUUAUACCCACUGGUGAUCAAGUUGAGGAUGGAUUCACUAAGCCACUUACUUUGCAAUAGCUGAAGGCAUUCAGGGCAAUCUCAACUUAGAUAGUUGUGAUUGAGGGGGAGUGUUAAACAUUGUAUUCUGUGUAUAUACGCGGUGUACGUAUAAACCACGUAUAUCACGUUGUGUGUGCGUGCGUGUGUAUCACGUUAGGAAGUUGGGUCGGUAGGAUCGAUCUCAUAUGUCAUUGUAGCUAUCCUGUAGAUAAGAGAUCGAUCCUAACCUCCUCUAACUCCUGUGCUUGUAAUCUCCUGUGCCUAUAUUAACACGUACGCGUCCCUGCUAUGCCAGCA
rnacentral:lncRNA from 1 species